AAACAUCUAAGUACCCCGAGGAAAAGAAAUCAACCGAGAUUCCCUCAGUAGCGGCGAGCGAACGGGGAUUAGCCCUUAAGCAUCUUGGAAGUUAGUGGAACGGUCCUGGAAAGGCCGGCGAUACAGGGUGAUAGCCCCGUACACGAAAACAACCUUGAUGUGAAAUCGAGUAGGGCGGGACACGUGACAUCCUGUCUGAAUAUGGGGGGACCAUCCUCCAAGGCUAAAUACUCCUGACUGACCGAUAGUGAACCAGUACCGUGAGGGAAAGGCGAAAAGAACCCCUGUGAGGGGAGUGAAAUAGAACCUGAAACCGUGUACGUACAAGCAGUGGGAGCCCUUCGGGGUGACUGCGUACCUUUUGUAUAAUGGGUCAGCGACUUACAUUUUGUAGCGAGGUUAACCGUAUAGGGGAGCCGUAGGGAAACCGAGUCUUAACUGGGCGUCUAGUUGCAAGGUGUAGACCCGAAACCGGGUGAUCUAGCCAUGGGCAGGUUGAAGGUUGAGUAACAUCAACUGGAGGACCGAACCCACUAACGUUGCAAAGUUAGGGGAUGACCUGUGGCUGGGGGUGAAAGGCCAAUCAAACUCGGAGAUAGCUGGUUCUCCCCGAAAGCUAUUUAGGUAGCGCCUCGGACGAAUACUACUGGGGGUAGAGCACUGUUUGGGCUAGGGGGUCAUCCCGACUUACCAACCCCAUGCAAACUCCGAAUACCAGUAAGUAAUAUCCGGGAGACACACGGCGGGUGCUAACGUCCGUCGUGAAGAGGGAAACAACCCAGACCGCCGGCUAAGGUCCCAAAGUUCUGGUUAAGUGGGAAACGAUGUGGGAAGGCUCAGACAGCUAGGAUGUUGGCUUAGAAGCAGCCAUCAUUUAAAGAAAGCGUAAUAGCUCACUAGUCGAGUCGGCCUGCGCGGAAGAUGUAACGGGGCUCAAACCAGGCACCGAAGCCGCGGAUUCACGCUA
rnacentral:rRNA from 1 species